GGAGGCGUGUGGGUGCCUGGUGGCCCUCCCGGUCUUCAAAACCGAGGUGUCCGACGCUCUCGGACAGGCGGGUUCGAUUCCCGUCCGCCUCCGCC
rnacentral:tRNA from 1 species